UACGGGGGGGGCAAGCGUUGUUCGGAAUUACUGGGCGUAAAGGGCUCGUAGGCGGCCAACUAAGUCGGAUGUGAAAUCCCCAGGCUUAACCUGGGAACUGCAUCCGAUACUGGGUGGCUUGAAUCCGGGAGAGGGAUGCAGAAUUCCAGGUGUAGCGGUGAAAUGCGUAGAUAUCUGGAGGAAUACCGGUGGCGAAGGCGGCAUCCUGGACCGGCAUUGACGCUGAGGAGCGAAAGCUAGGGGAGCAAACGGG
rnacentral:rRNA from 1 species